CUGGCGGUCGCCCUCUGCAGCCGCACUGAAAUUUUCCGGGAGGAGCCGGUGACGAGAGUGAUGGCUCUGCUGUCGAGGUCCUGGUGUUCUGCAUCGACACUGGGAAACUCAAACACUUCAUCCUGGGCUGAAAGAGAAGCCUUGUUUGAUUAUACCCCAGAGCUGCAAAGAAAGACCAAAAAAAAACCGUCAAGGAAUCAGAGAAGAAAGCCGGACGGAAAGCGAGGUCACAAUGAGGAAGUACCAAUGGCUACAGAAGCACAAACAGGAUACAACUGCUCUUAACACCCUUCCUGUCAGGCAGGCCUCCUCCUCUAAAUGUGAUAAGCCUUGUGUGGCUUCCCCCUUACUUCUCCUGCCUGCAGUGGGACUACCAGAGAAGGAGUGGCACAGCUGAUGUGUACUGCCAGGAAGGGGUGAAAAAAUCGCUGUCUUAUAAAGCUCACUGAAACCAGCAAAGCACAUUCUGCUUCUGCCUCACUUCAUGCUAUCUAGGGGAUCAUUCCCAUGGCACAUCCGGUCUCCAGCCACAUGAAUGGCCUGUGCUCUUCAAGCAUGGCAGACAAAAACA